rnacentral:rRNA from 1 species
AACGAACGCUGGCGGCAGGCUUAACACAUGCAAGUCGAGCGCCCCGCAAGGGGAGCGGCAGACGGGUGAGUAACGCGUGGGAAUCUACCCAUCUCUGCGGAAUAACGCAUGGAAACGUGUGCUAAUACCGUAUACGUCCUUCGGGAGAAAGAUUUAUCGGAGAUGGAUGAGCCCGCGUUGGAUUAGCUAGUUGGUGGGGUAAAGGCCUACCAAGGCGACGAUCCAUAGCUGGUCUGAGAGGAUGAUCAGCCACACUGGGACUGAGACACGGCCCAGACUCCUACGGGGGGCAGCAGUGGGGAAUAUUGGACAAUGGGCGCAAGCCUGAUCCAGCCAUGCCGCGUGAGUGAUGAAGGCCCUAGGGUUGUAAAGCUCUUUCACCGGUGAAGAUAAUGACGGUAACCGGAGAAGAAGCCCCGGCUAACUUCGUGCCAGCCGCCGCAGUAACAC